rnacentral:rRNA from 1 species
UACGGGGGGGGCAAGCGUUGUUCGGAAUCACUGGGCGUAAAGCGCACGUAGGCGGCGUCUUAAGUCAGGGGUGAAAUCCUGGAGCUCAACUCCAGAACUGCCUUUGAUACUGAGAUGCUUGAGUCCGGGAGAGGUGAGUGGAACUGUGAGUGUAGAGGUGAAAUUCGUAGAUAUUCGCAAGAACACCAGUGGCGAAGGCGGCUCACUGGCCCGGUACUGACGCUGAGGUGCGAAAGCGUGGGGAGCAAACAGG